UACGAAGGGGGCUAGCGUUUCUCGGAAUCACUGGGCGUAAAGCGCCCGUAGGCGGCUUUUUAAGUCAGGGGUGAAAUCCUGGAGCUCAACUCCAGAACUGCCUUUGAUACUGAGAAGCUUGAGUCCGGGAGAGGUGAGUGGAACUGCGAGUGUAGAGGUGAAAUUCGUAGAUAUUCGCAAGAACACCAGUGGCGAAGGCGGCUCACUGGCCCGGUACUGACGCUGAGGUGCGAAAGCGUGGGGAGCAAACAGG
rnacentral:rRNA from 1 species